CCAGACUCCUACGGGAGGCAGCAGUGGGGAAUAUUGCACAAUGGGGGAAACCCUGAUGCAGCAACGCCGCGUGGGUGAAGGAGCGUUUCGGCGCGUAAAGCCCUGUCAGCGGGGAAGAGGAAAGACGGUACCCGACCAAGAAGCCCCGGCUAACUACGUGCCAGCAGCCGCGGUAAUACGUAGGGGGCGAGCGUUAUCCGGAAUUACUGGGUGUAAAGGGAGCGUAGACGGCGAGGUAAGCCUGAAGUGGAAGCCCGCGGCCCAACCGCGGAACUGCUUUGGGAACUGUUUUGCUGGAGUAUGGGAGGGGUAAGCGGAAUUCCUGGUGUAGCGGUGAAAUGCGUAGAUAUAUGGAAGAACACCAGUGGCGAAGGCGGCCGCCUGGCCUGUUGCUGACGCUGAGGCACGAAAGCGUGGGGAGCAAAUAGGAUUAGAUACCCCUGUAAC
rnacentral:rRNA from 1 species